CGGCUCGUCCGGGAGCCGCCGCCGCAGGUGCCGGGCGGGCCGCGGGAGGCUCCGAGCGAGGGGGGGGGGCGGGAGGUUGGGAAGAAAAAAGAAAAAAAAAAGAAAAAAAAAAGAAAACAAAGUUUCCAGCUGAUGCUUUUGGGAGGAAAGGUGGAAAAGGCCCGCGCUGAGCCGGCAAGAAGCGGUAACCGCGGGAAGCCCCUUCCCCGCUACUCCCCGCUUCGCGAGCACGGCGCCGCCGCUCCCACGGUGGCGGCCGGGGGCUGCGGGGCCGGGCAGGGCAGGGCCGGGCAGGGCUGGGGGGCAGCCUCCAUCCCUGCCGGCCUCCCUCCGUGCCGGCCGCGGGCGGGGUGAGAGAAGGGUUAAGAAACUUGGCUGAAGAGAUGAAUGGCGCGGGAGGGGGGAGGAGGAGGAGGAGGAGCCGGGCUGCGCCGCGCCGGGCGAGGUGGAAGGCGGGGAGGAUCGCGGCUGCGGGUUAGGCUUUGAAAGUCAGCCUCGCAGGCAUUGCAGCAGGGCCCCGAACCGCGCAGGGGAGCGGCGCCGCGCCGGGCUCGGCUCGCCGCGUACGUGCGGGGGGUCGGGGGGCAGCGGGGCGGCGCGGCUCGGCUGGGCUCGGCUCGGCGCUGUCCCCGGCUCGGGGUCCCCGCGGAGCCAGGCUGGGCGCUGGGGGAGGCCGGGAGCCGCGGCCGUGCGGCGGAGGCGGGGGGGGGGGGGGGCCGGGGGGCAGCGCUCGGGAGGAGCCGCCGCGGGGCGGGAGGCGCUGCGUGUGCAAGGGGGGAGGGUGCUGGUGUCCGUCCGUCCGUCCGUCUGUCUGUCCGUCCGUCCGCGUGUCUGUCCGUGCAGCGCUGCCGGGCGGCGGCGGGGAGCGAACAAUGCCGGGGUGAGCCCGGCGAGGGGUGGCCGCGGCGGGGACGGCUUCCGGGGGGGGAUCCCCCCCGUACGGGGCCAGCUGGAAGUUUGGGGGGCUUGGGGGCGGCGUGGGAGCGAGGGGGGGACCCCGGCUUUUACAGCCCGAGCGCUGGCUGGGGGGAGACCUCCGGGGUCGAGGCCAGGGUCGGCGAAGCUCCGCCCGGGGCAGCGCCGAGGCCGGCUGCUGCCUCCCUUUCUCCCUCCCUUUCUCCCUCCCUCCCUCUCGGUCCCGCCGCCCCCCGCCCAGCCCCAGCCCCAGCCCCACCUGCGGGCGCCCCCCG
rnacentral:lncRNA from 1 species